UCUGCUAAGAGGAGGAAGGAAUGGGGCAACGGUAGGUCAGCAUGCCCCGAAUUAUCUGGGCUACACGCGGGCUACAAUGGGUGGGACAAUGGGUAUCGACACCGAAAGGUGAAGGCAAUCUCCUAAACCCAUCCGUAGUUCGGAUUGUGGGCUGCAACUCGCCCACAUGAAGCUGGAAUCUGUAGUAAUCGCGUCUCAAAAUGGCACGGUGAAUAUGUCCCUGCUCCUU
rnacentral:rRNA from 1 species